ensembl:snRNA U6 U6 spliceosomal RNA
GUGACUCGCUGCAGCAGCACAUAUACCCAACUGGGGACAAUAUAGAGAAGGUUAACAUGGUCCCUGAGUGUGGACAACGUGCAAAGUUGUGAAGCAUUCCAUAUUUUA